rnacentral:rRNA from 1 species
UACGGGGGGAGCAAGCGUUGUUCGGAUUUACUGGGCGUAAAGGGCGCGUAGGCGGCGCAACAAGUCACUUGUGAAAUCUCCGGGCUUAACCCGGAGCGGUCAAGUGAUACUGUCGUGCUAGAGUGCGGAAGGGGCUACUGGAAUUCUCGGUGUAGCGGUGAAAUGCGUAGAUAUCGAGAGGAACACCAGUGGCGAAGGCGACUACCUGGCCUGUUCUUGACGCUGAGGCGCGAAAGCUAGGGGAGCAAACGGG